rnacentral:lncRNA from 1 species
UUUCAGGCUGGCCUUGAACUUACAGGGAUUCACCUGCCUCUGCCUCCCAGAUGCUGAGAUUAAAGGCAUGUGCCAUCACCACCUGAACAACAGCAGCUUUCUAAGGAACCAGUAAGGCACUACAGACUUUUCAUAUAACAUCACCUUCAUUCUCUCACAACUAAUUCUACAAAACAGAUGUUAUACGACCUCGUUCGCUGAAGUCAAAGAUGCAGAGGGGCCAAGGUGUGGGCUCCGGACCUCACACCAGUGUGGCAGAUUCAACAAGCCCAGAAUAAGCCUCUUCCUUUGCUCACAAUAAGAUUAAGCCAACUGCCUCUUCAUUCCUCAGUCACACUCCUCCUCUGACCCUGCUCCAGGAGGCUCAUCUUGUCAGACUUCACACUGAAUGAGCGCUGAGGAUGCUGUAGAGUAUGAGCUGUGUGCAGGAUUGCUAUCUUCUGGUCCUGUACUCCUCAAGCUCAAAGGCCAACGUCCUGGCAUUUGUGUGACGGCUUUUGCCCUACCCUGCAGAAUUUGCAAUAGGCAGUCU